UUAAACUGGCUAAAGGCAAAACAGACCCUGCAUCUUGGCUUUCUUUCUGAUUCUUGGGCAAAAUUCUAGGAUCCCAAAUCAACACAAGGUUUUAUUUCAUUAAACAACCGUGAGGUAGAACUAGUGAUCUGCAACUAAUUUUCAGAACAGCAAAUCCGGCAAAAGCAGCCCAAAGAUUAUCCUGAGGUCCUCUCCAGUCUUUCAAGUCAGGAUAGGAUGCCUGACGGGCACAGCAGGUAGAAGCGGGGAAGAAGAAAAUGUCUGAGAAGGGUAUGGCUUCUGACAGCUGGCUACUGCUGAUACCGCAAAAUGACAGCUCUCUUUGGAAAGGUGGAACGUAAGAGCUAAUUCACACAUGUGUUUCUGUCACUUAACAAUUUGCAUGUGAAAAUGAGCCAACCUGGCUCAAGCCACACAGAAAGAACUUCCUGUCGACUUGUAUUGUCUCAAUUGAUUUUUUUCUCUAGUUGUGAAGCUGGAAAUCCUUUAAUGGUGUAUAAGCAUGUGUGAAACAAGCCUCUUAACAGCAAAUAAAUCCUAAAGGGA